GAAAUAUAUUUCUAAAUGUUUCAAACUUCUUCUCUGACAAAUUGUUCAAUAAAGAUUAGGUUUCUUUUACCCAGCAUAUAUAGCUGACUGUAUGUGUAUAUCAUGUGUAUGUACAAGUAUGCUCUGAAUUAAAGUAUGUUUUAACUUCUCCCUUUGUUGAUAAAAAAUUGUUGAUACUCAAAAUUUACAAAAAUGUGAAAAAAUAUAUCACAGAUUCACACAAACUGCCUUAUCAAGGACUGUCAAAUAAAGUUAUUUUUAAUGUUUUUUUUUUAAAUUAUUUUUAAUGUACUGUUACAGGCCAUUGGUAAUGUGAAGUAAAUACCAGCUUGUUUACAUUCUGUUACAUUAGUAAUGUUCAUGAUGCAAACUGUGACUGCGCGCUAUGAUUAUAUUGGCUACUUUCACUUCAUUGUAAACAUUAUGACGUCAUUAUCUAAUUUGCAUAAAACCAUAUAACCCACUUGAAAAAUACGUUAUGAGCCGAAAAAAAUAGUUCCAGUCAAGCAUCGUCCAAAACUUCCUCCAAAAACAAGCAAGCAUUUAGCAAAUGAUAUAAUAAUAACGACACAUCUCAAAUAUAUGACCGUUUUCUGUUUAAUAAAUUGUUGUUGCAAUCCUCACAAAAUCUAUAUUUCAUUGUAUCACUCCGCCUCUGAUGGAGAAAUAAAAUUUACCAGUGAUCUCGUCAGUGAAGUAACAAUCGGACCGCCAUAACAAACCGUACGCCAUUUUUUGUGUAACUUUUUCACUUAAUUCGCUUAAUUGACUGCUUAUCGGUGAAAAGUAGGAAUGGUAAAAGGUGACGAAAAGUACUAAUUUUCAUCUGCAGUGGAUAAAAUAACUGUUUGCGAUGAAUAAUUUACAGAAAUUUACGGAUACUUUUAAGCGUUUCACUCCGGUGAUUUCCGCCUCGAGAGUCAAGAUGGCGGACUUUGGCAGAAACAAUUUACAAAUUUGACUAAAAUAUUUGAUUUUGCAAUAGCAUCAAACAAAACAAAUGAAGCGACGGUUAAAAACGAUAGCAAUACAGAUGCUUCGGCACGAAACGUUAACAGGAGGCAGAUAAAACUUCAGAAAUGGUCCGAAACACUUCUAAAUUACAAAAUGUGUGACCGAUUUUGGCAAACAUGAUAAAAGUAGGUCAAAUGACGCAAAAGCGUGCUGCAACUUUUUUCGUAGAUUCAUUAAUCCCGCGAGUAACAAUUCGACUCAACUGUCGAAAUGUGUACUGUUAAAGUUAUUUUAACAUAUCCGAGUGUUAGAUAUCAUUAUUUGUAACCAUAAACGUACGUAAAUCGUAAUUUCUUCUUGAAAUUCAACAUGGCUGCCAAGUUGUUAUUUUGAAGAUGCACAAGGGAUGGCGAUCGGUUAACUUUAAGUUAUCUCGGGCUUUUGCUUUGUUAUUUUGUACAACUCGUGAAAAUAAUUUGUUAUUAUUAACUUAUGGAUAUAUUUUGCGCUAUAUAUGACUGUUGUUACACUGGAAGACCGUUGUGAACAAAGAACUAUCAACAUCACAAAAUGGCGACCCUGUACAUGAAGAUCCAGAAUAUGAGACUGGACUUAACCACUUUAAUUGUGUUUCCUCAGCUUGGUAUAGAAAUCUGAGUGCGGGGAAGAAUACAAUUCCGCAAGACAAGAGAGUUUGAUCUACAUAAUAUAGUCGGGAGACUAAAAUAAAAGAAAUAAAUCUAAUAAAUGAAUCAACACAUUCAAACAUCAAGAAGAAAUACAAGUCCUGCACAUCACACAUUAGCCGUUUAAAAAUCUUUCAAAGUUCACUUCACUGUGGUGUAUUGUAUGGCAUCUAACAUUCAUUUAAUUUUCUGUUUCUUUGAUGACAGCAAACUGUUUGGUAACUGCAACUCGACGUCAUAGAAAUUUACAGGACCAAGAAAUUCACCCAUGGAAAAUCAUGCCUGAAAUACAUUUUUAUGAAUACUAAAAAUGUUUGCAGUCCAUCGAACUCAUUUCUAAACAAAACUUGUUCCAUUUGCUGUCACAAUAAAUCUUUAUCUUCAUUUUAAACAUGUCAAAAGCCACCAGUCUGAAGUGAACUUGAGAAAAAAAUGGACACAUGCCACAAGAUUUCACCCUUUCAAAUAUUAUUUUCAAAGUCAAAGAACUCAAGAAAUUCAUUAUGAAUAAAACGUACCUCGUC